rnacentral:rRNA from 1 species
AUUGAACGCUGGCGGCAUGCUUUACACAUGCAAGUCGAACGGUAACAGGGAGCUUGCUCCGCUGACGAGUGGCGAACGGGUGAGUAAUGCAUCGGAACGUACCCAGUCGUGGGGGAUAACGUAGCGAAAGUUACGCUAAUACCGCAUACGUCCUGAGGGAGAAAGCGGGGGACCGUAAGGCCUCGCGCGAUUGGAGCGGCCGAUGUCGGAUUAGCUAGUUGGUGGGGUAAAGGCCUACCAAGGCGACGAUCCGUAGCGGGUCUGAGAGGAUGAUCCGCCACACUGGGACUGAGACACGGCCCAGACUCCUACGGGAGGCAGCAGUGGGGAAUUUUGGACAAUGGGGGCAACCCUGAUCCAGCCAUGCCGCGUGAGCGAUGAAGGCCUUCGGGUCGUAAAGCUCUGUCCUCAAGGAAGAUAAUGACGGUACUUGAGGAGGAAGCCCCGGCUAACUACGUG